UCCUACGGGAGGCAGCAGUGGGGAAUCUUGGACAAUGGGCGCAAGCCUGAUCCAGCCAUGCCGCGUGAGUGAUGAAGGCCCUAGGGUCGUAAAGCUCUUUCGCCAGGGAUGAUAAUGACAGUACCUGGUAAAGAAACCCCGGCUAACUCCGUGCCAGCAGCCGCGGUAAUACGGAGGGGGUUAGCGUUGUUCGGAAUUACUGGGCGUAAAGCGCACGUAGGCGGAUCGGAAAGUUGGGGGUGAAAUCCCGGGGCUCAACCCCGGAACUGCCUCCAAAACUAUCGGUCUAGAGUUCGAGAGAGGUGAGUGGAAUUCCGAGUGUAGAGGUGAAAUUCGUAGAUAUUCGGAGGAACACCAGUGGCGAAGGCGGCUCACUGGCUCGAUACUGACGCUGAGGUGCGAAAGUGUGGGGAGCAAACAGGAUUAGAUACCCUGGUAGUCCACACCGUAAACGAUGAAUGCCAGUCGUCGGGUAGCAUGCUAUUCGGUGACACACCUAACGGAUUAAGCAUUCCGCCUGGGGAGUACGGUCGCAAGAUUAAAACUCAAGGAAUUGACGGGGA
rnacentral:rRNA from 1 species